rnacentral:rRNA from 1 species
GCGUGCUUAACACAUGCAAGUCGAACGGAAAGGCCCUGCUUUUGUGGGGUGCUCGAGUGGCGAACGGGUGAGUAACACGUGAGUAACCUGCCCUUGACUUUGGGAUAACUUCAGGAAACUGGGGCUAAUACCGGAUAGGAGCUCCUGCUGCAUGGUGGGGGUUGGAAAGUUUCGGCGGUUGGGGAUGGACUCGCGGCUUAUCAGCUUGUUGGUGGGGUAGUGGCUUACCAAGGCUUUGACGGGUAGCCGGCCUGAGAGGGUGACCGGCCACAUUGGGACUGAGAUACGGCCCAGACUCCUACGGGAGGCAGCAGUGGGGAAUAUUGCACAAUGGGCGGAAGCCUGAUGCAGCAACGCCGCGUGCGGGAUGACGGCCUUCGGGUUGUAAACCGCUUUCGCCUGUGACGAAGCGUGAGUGACGGUAAUGGGUAAAGAAGCACCGGCUAACUACGUGCCAGCAGCCGCGGUGAUACGUAGGGUGCGAGCGUUGUCCGGAUUUAUUGGGCGUAAAGGGCUCGUAGGUGGUUGAUCGCGUCGGAAGUGUAAUCUUGGGGCUUAACCCUGAGCGUGCUUUCGAUACGGGUUGACUUGAGGAAGGUAGGGGAGAAUGGAAUUCCUGGUGGAGCGGUGGAAUGCGCAGAUAUCAGGAGGAACACCAGUGGCGAAGGCGGUUCUCUGGGCCUUUCCUGACGCUGAGGAGCGAAAGCGUGGGGAGCGAACAGGCUUAGAUACCCUGGUAGUCCACGCUGUAAACGGUGGGUACUAGGUGUGGGGUCCAUUCCACGGGUUCCGUGCCGUAGCUAACGCUUUAAGUACCCCGCCUGGGGAGUACGGCCGCAAGGCUAAAACUCAAAGGAAUUGACGGGGCCCCGCACAAGCGGCGGAGCAUGCGGAUUAAUUCGAUGCAACGCGUAGAACCUUACCUGGGUUUGACAUGGAUCGGGAGUGCUCAGAGAUGGGUGUGCCUCUUUUGGGGUCGGUUCACAGGUGGUGCAUGGCUGUCGUCAGCUCGUGUCGUGAGAUGUUGGGUUAAGUCCCGCAACGAGCGCAACCCUUGUUCACUGUUGCCAGCACGUUAUGGUGGGGACUCAGUGGAGACCGCCGGGGUCAACUCGGAGGAAGGUGGGGAUGACGUCAAGUCAUCAUGCCCCUUAUGUCCAGGGCUUCACGCAUGCUACAAUGGCUGGUACAGAGAGUGGCGAGCCUGUGAGGGUGAGCGAAUCUCGGAAAGCCGGUCUCAGUUCGGAUUGGGGUCUGCAACUCGACCUCAUGAAGUCGGAGUCGCUAGUAAUCGCAGAUCAGCAACGCUGCGGUGAAUACGUUCCCGGGGCUUGUACACACCGCCCGUCAAGUCAUGAAAGUUGGUAACACCCGAAGCCGGUGGCCUAACCGUUGUGGGGGAGCCGUCGAAGGUGGGACUGGUGAUUAGGACUAAGUCGUA